GUCUGGCUAAAGAGGCCAUGGAUGACUCCGAAGGGGCAAGACUGGAGAAGCUUAUCAGCGAAUUGGGCCCAUUUGGCAGGUAUCAGUUUUACGUCAUCUUCCUGA
rnacentral:lncRNA from 1 species